CGGGUUGUGGCUCAGUGGUAGAGCGCUUGCCUAGCAUGCAUGAGGCACUGGGUUGGAUCCCUGGCACCACAU
rfam:Ictidomys tridecemlineatus contig031013, whole genome shotgun sequence.